rnacentral:rRNA from 1 species
CCUACGGGAGGCAGCAGUAGGGAAUAUUGGACAAUGGGUGAGAGCCUGAUCCAGCCAUGCCGCGUGCAGGAAGAAGGCGUUAUGCGUUGUAAACUGCUUUUGCCAGGGGAUAAAAAGACCGUGCGCGGUUAAUUGAAGGUACCUGGUGAAUAAGCCACGGCUAACUACGUGCCAGCAGCCGCGGUAAU